rnacentral:rRNA from 1 species
CAGUCGCCGCGGUAAUACGUAGGGUGCAAGCGUUAAUCGGAAUUACUGGGCGUAAAGCGUGCGUAGGUGGUGGUUUAAGUCCGUUGUGAAAGCCCUGGGCUCAACCUGGGAAUUGCAGUGGAUACUGGGUCACUAGAGUGUGGUAGAGGAUAGUGGAAUUUCCGGUGUAGCAGUGAAAUGCGUAGAGAUCGGAAGGAACAUCUGUGGCGAAGGCGACUAUCUGGGCCAACACUGACACUGAGGCACGAAAGCGUGGGGAGCAAACAGGAUUAGAUACCCCCGUAGUCCCUGUCUCUUAUAC